GACCUCAAAUCAGGUAGGACUACCCGCUGAACUUAAGCAUAUCAAUAAGCGGAGGAAAAGAAACUAACAAGGAUUCCCCUAGUAACUGCGAGUGAAGCGGGAAAAGCUCAAAUUUAAAAUCUGGCAGUCCUUUAACUGCCCGAGUUGUAAUCUAGAGAAGUGUUAUCUGUGCUGGACCAUGUACAAGUCUUCUGGAAUGGAGCAUCAUAGAGGGUGAGAAUCCCGUCUUUGACAUGGACUGCCAGGACUUGUGAUGCACUCUCAAAGAGUCGAGUUGUUUGGGAAUGCAGCUCAAAAUGGGUGGUAAAUUCCAUCUAAAGCUAAAUAUUGCCAAGAGACCGAUAGUGACCAAGUCCCGUGAGGGAAAGAUGAAAAGAACUUUGGAAAGAGAGUUAACCAGUAUGUGAAAUUGCUGAAAGGGAACCCCUUGAAGUCAGUCCCAUUGUCCAGGGAUCAUCCCUUGCUUUUGCUUGGUGUCCUUUCUGGUUGAUGGGUCAGCAUCAAUUUUGACUAUUGGAAAAAGGUUGAGGGAAUGUGGCAUCUUGGGAUGUGUUAUAGCCCUUGGYKNHWUDDAANNGUUGGGAUUGNGGAAC
rnacentral:rRNA from 1 species